GAAACAGUUGCUAAGACUGGAUAGGAAAUUAAAAGGCAUCUUUUAAUUUUUAAAAGACCUUUUUCGGAAGGUAUGCUUAAAGAGGGGCUUGCGCCACAUUAGUUAGUUGGUAAGGUAAAGGCUUACCAAGACGAUGAUGUGUAGCUGGACUGAGAGGUUGAACAGCCACAUUGGGACUGAGACACGGCCCAAACUCCUACGGGAGGCAGCAGUAAGGAAUUUUUGGCAAUGGAGGAAACUCUGACCGAGCGACGCCGCGUGAACAAUGAAGUACUUCGGUAUGUAAAGUUCUUUUAUUGAAAAAGAAAAAAUAGUGGAAAAACUAUCUUGACAUUAUUCAAUGAAUAAGCCCCGGCUAAUUAUGUGCCAGCAGCCGCGGUAAUACAUAAGGGGCGAGCGUUAUCCGGAAUUAUUGGGCGUAAAGGGUGCGUAGGCGGUUUGAUAAGUCUAUAGUUUAAUUGCAGUGCUUAACGCUGUACCGCUAUAGAAACUGUCUGACUAGAGUUAGAUAGAGGCAAGCGGAAUUCCAUGUGUAGCGGUAAAAUGCGUAAAUAUAUGGAGGAACACCAGAGGCGUAGGCGGCUUGCUGGGUCUUAACUGACGCUGAGGCACGAAAGCGUGGGGAGCAAACAGGAUUAGAUACCCUGGUAGUCCACGCCGUAAACGAUGAGUACUAAGUGUCGGGUUUUGGCUCGGUACUGAAGUUAACACAUUAAGUACUCCGCCUGAGUAGUACGUACGCAAGUAUGAAACUUAAAGGAAUUGACGGGACCCCGCACAAGCGGUGGAUCAUGUUGUUUAAUUCGAAGAUACACGAAAAACCUUACCAGGUCUUGACAUAAUUUUGCGACAUUAUAGAAAUAUAAUGAAGGUUAUCAGAAUUACAGGUGGUGCAUGGUUGUCGUCAGCUCGUGUCGUGAGAUGUUAGGUUAAGUCCUAAAACGAGCGCAACCCUUGUCGUUAGUUGCGACCACAUAAUAGUGAGCACUUUAGCGAGACUGCCAAUGAAAAAUUGGAGGAAGGUGAGGAUUACGUCAAAUCAUCAUGCCCCUUAUGAUCUGGGCUACAAACGUGAUACAAUGGCUUUUACAAAGAGUAGCUACAACGUGAGUUUUUAGCCAAUCUCAAAAAAACAGUCUCAGUUCGGAUUGAAGUCUGCAACUCGACUUCAUGAAGUUGGAAUCGCUAGUAAUCGCGAAUCAGCAUGUCGCGGUGAAUACGUUCUCGGGGUUUGUACACACCGCCCGUCA
rnacentral:rRNA from 1 species